rnacentral:lncRNA from 12 species
UUGGAGGAUUCUGGAGCUCGCUCAGUUUUACCCUUGGAAGUAGACUUGAUUCUAGUCCAGACUUUGUUUUUUGACCAUUGCCUCCAAAGAAAAAGUCAUUACACAGCUACAGUAGAAUAUUCAUUCCCUGGACCUUUUUAUAGAAUUCACUGGGGCAAAGGUUUUCUCGUCAAACCAGAUGAUUAUAACGAGCACAGAAGAGGCUGGAAUCUCUUCUCCAGACUGUGGCUGCACACGCACAUCAGAUUUUCACAUUUAAGUGGAACUAUUUUAGGAUAUCUCUGGAGGCAGCUUUGCCAGCAGAAUGACCACAGAGGACAUUAACAACAGGUGGUGUUUGUUGAAAGUUUAGCUGCUAUCUGGUGCUUCAGCGGGCAUUGGACAUACGCUAUCUCAUUUAAAACAUAAGCAAACUCUGAAGGUCAGAGAGAUUAAGAAGCUUCCUCAGGAUCACACAGCCAUGAUGUUGCCAGGAUUCAUGCCUAGGUUUGUACAUCCUGCAUUUUUUUCUUAUAACUAUGCUAUAUGCUAUUAGUAAUGUCAAACAUAAUAUCAUGAGGAAUCCUCAGGUUAUGAAGCUAGUCACAUUCUCCCCUUUGCAUUAGGCAGUGAAAAUAAUUAAAGCAUCCCAAGAUUAAAAAACCAACAAACAAAUGGUUAAGAUACUAGAGAAUUAAGGUGCCUCUGGAUGCUGCUCUUGCCAUUGAACAAUUUUAUCUUUAUUUUAUUAUUUAGCUACAAAUGGUAGCAGGUUCAAAUAUUUCCUCUUGCUCGGGAUAUAAUUUCCAGAG